GAUGAACGCUAGCGGCAGGCUUAAUACAUGCAAGUCGAGGGACAGCACAGGUAGCAAUACUGGGUGGUAACCGGCAAACGGGUGCGGAACACGUACACAACCUUCCUUUAAGUGGGGGAUAGCCCAGAGAAAUUUGGAUUAAUACCCCGUAAUAUAGUUGAAUGGCAUCAUUUGAUUAUUAUAGCUACGGCGCUUAAUGAUGGGUGUGCGGCUGAUUAGAUAGUUGGCGGGGUAACGGCCCACCAAGUCUACGAUCAGUAGCUGAUGUGAGAGCAUGAUCAGCCACACGGGCACUGAGACACGGGCCCGACUCCUGCGGGAGGCAGCAGUAAGGAAUGUUGGUCAAUGGACGCAAGUCGGAACCAGCCAUGCCGCGCGAAGGAUUAAGGUCCUCUGGAUUGUAAACUUCUUUUAUUUGGGACGAAAAAGGGCCUUUCUAGGUCAACUGACGGUACCAGAUGAAUAAGCACCGGCUAACUCCGUGCCAGCCGCCGCCGGUAACAC
rnacentral:rRNA from 1 species